AUAUGAUAGGUAGGAAGGAAAUUCUGUACUAGCCUUUAAGAGUAGAAAUCAAUCUGCUUUUGACAUCAAGAAUGAGAAAUGGGUUUAAACAGUCACAGGAAGUGUUUGGCCUCAGGGUCUUUCUGUCUCUGUCCCUUACAAAGCAUUACUGAAAUCUGUGGUGGGAACCCCCUGCUAAGGUUACAGGUUAAUCAGGCUGAAGGGUUUAAAGUAAACAAUUGCCCAGAGUACUGCAGUGCGUGCAGGCAGGCCAGCCAUGUGCAAGUGUGUCACUGCAUCCAGGCAGUUCCUCUGCUAUUGCAAAUGCUACAGUAGAGGAGGUUUUCUGGUGCUUUCACCCAUUCUACCAGUUUUAAUAUACUCUCUGAUGCUUUCCUGGAGAUCCCUGUAGCCUGUGCUGAGUGGUUUUUUUCUUGUCAAGACAACUGUAAUUGAUAAAAACAAACAAGGAUGGAAAUGUUACAGCAUUCCUCUCAGCAAUCCUGGCUGUUUAUAACCUGCCCUUCCCCAGUCAGGUUUAUGUUGAAAUCUUUACGCUUCCCUCACAGCCUGGCCAACUCUUCAGAGCUUUGUUCUUUUGUUCCUUCAUUCAUGUUAUUCGCUGCCCCAGAUCAAAUACAGUCUUGGAAGUUGGGAACUGAGUGGAAAGGAAGGGCAUUUGAGUGACAGAGUCUCUGCUGCUGCUGAAUUGCUUUGAUGCUUCUGCAGCCCCCUGUUUCUUGCAGGGGGCACUUCCCAGCAGAGCCUGAACUGCUGUUGAAAAUGCAUUUUGAGCUCUCAACCAAAGCAGAAAAUCAAAACAAGAGCAAACCCAGUGUGGACUCUGGCAAAGAUCACCCUCUCUUCAUAUAUAAAGAGAAGCAUUAAGCCUGACCUCAUAAAAGAGAGAACUUAAAGGACCGUUCUGCACUUUGAAAUCCUACCCUCAGUGGCAUGGAAACAAAACGCUGAGUUGGGAAUUUCAGCAGCUCCUUGCACGUUUGCUCAGCCCGCUGCGCUUCCUGAGCGUGAAUCGCCCAUUGCAUCAUCCCAGGGAAAGGGAGGUUAUUGGGUCACUGCCUGCCCUUAUAAUCUGCUCCAUAAGGAACUCCUCAAGGGUACAGACCAGUGCCCAGAAUAAUAUUUAAUAAGAUCUGGAAAAUGAUGGCUGCUGCAAGCAGAGGCCUUAGGGACGUUUGCAGGAGGCCACUGUUUGGAUGAGUUAGCAGCACAGCCCCUCUGUAACCAUCAAACAGCUGCUGCCAGGAGCCAAGGAGGGGAAGAGCUGAGAGCCCAGAUGACUUUGGUUGGAGCUUGGUGCAGUUCUUAACAUAUAGGCCUGAGCUAAAUGGAGAAGGAACAGUACCUGGACUGUGUACCAGACCAUAAAGGACAAUGCCAUGGCUUUGUUCUUCAGUUGGAUUUCCCCAGGGAUCCUGGGAUUUAAAGAAACUUCCCACCAGUGGACAAAUGCCAUGACAGACAAGAGUCAACUUACUGACAGCAGGAAGUGUUGUCCCUGUGGGAACUCAAAUACACUGUGCCCUGCAA